rnacentral:rRNA from 1 species
UGCGUAGGGGGCAAGCGUUGUCCGGAUUUAUUGGGCGUAAAGAGCGUGUAGGCGGUUUGGUAGGUCCGUUGUGAAAACUCGAGGCUCAACCUCGAGACGCCGAUGGAAACCAUCAGACUAGAGUCCGGAAGAGGAGAGUGGAAUUCCUGGUGUAGCGGUGAAAUGCGCAGAUAUCGGGAAGAACACCCGUGGCGAAGGCGGCUCUCUGGGACGGUACUGACGCUGAGACGCGAAAGCGUGGGGAGCGAACAGG